ACACAAAUUAUAGUCUUUUGGGUGUACAGAACUAAAUAGUUUUAUAUAAUUUAAAAUGACUUGGCUUGCUGUGGUGUCUUCACUGAUGGAAAUUACCACUAUUUGUCAUGCUGUUCUCAUCUUUUUACUUUGUACAUAUUUUUUUAAAUUUACAGUUAUUGUAUUAACGUUAUUGUAAUCUGAUUGCUGUAGAAGUACUUUUAGUUUACACUCCCAAAAGGACAAGUCUUGUCUUUGUUUUGCUCUGCUCUGUCAUGCCUAUGAUUAAAACUUACUGAUUUAUUGAGAUAGGGGGCUUUUUAGUUACAAAUAAACUCUUAUAUUAUGUACAAAUAAAAAGUAUUUCGACCUGAUUUCCAGAUCACAUAAAUCACAUGAAGCAUUUUUAAUUUAAGGACUGUGGUUGUGAUUUAUAAGGACUGGAUCUAUGCUGAACUAUUUCAAAAAAAUAUGAAAAUAUAUUGAGCAUAAUUUUAAUUUGAGUGAUGAAUUUCUAUUUUACUGAAAUCUAAUGUAUUAUUUAAAGUUGUAAAGAUAUGGAAUGCUAAUUUAGAGUUUUGUUGUGUGACAUUCAGCGAGUUAAUCAGUUUCACAUUUGAUCACAUUUAGAUCAUUUAACUGAUUUUUCCAAUUAUGAGACAGUAACGUACACAAUUAUUCAAGACUAAAGUAAUUUAAGUUUUUUAACUUUACAGAAUAGCCAUUUCUUGUAUAGAUAUUUGAUUUAUCUUCAUUUAAUGGACCAUAAACGUGAAUUUUAAAUUUGAACAAAAGCAAUUUUUGGUUGUAGAUGCUGACAAAUCACACUUUGAAAACUCACUGUAGCUGUCUUGGUGUUUGUGCACUACAACAACAGAUGAUUUUAUCUUUGUGGUGAAAAAUAUCUGACACUUUAAUCCUUUUAGCAGUACAACCAAAAAUGUACAGCCGUAGGAGACUUUCUUCAUUACUGCGUGGUCCAUUCAAAAUGUAUGAAACAAAGUUGUAAUAGAAUGAGAAAAUGUUUUUUUCAUAAUAGAUUACUAUAAAGCAUCUGAUCCUACAUACACACAUCAGUUUGCUGAAUGGAAGGAGCCGUAUUUAAAUUGAAUUGAUUCAUACUGUAUUAUCCUUAAUAAAGAGAUACUCACUUUUUGCACUUUAA